rfam:Haliea rubra DSM 19751 genomic scaffold scaffold12, whole genome shotgun sequence.
GGUUACCUGGCGUAUGCGCCAGACUAUCAGUCCUCGAGCCGAUAACUGCGUUACCGGGGGCAGCCAAAGUCGCUGUUGUGCAAGUCCGGCCCGUACCGGGAAGCCUGAUGCGAUGCGGAGGCCUCCACCUUGAGCCAUCGGGUUCAAGGGCCGACCUGUCAGCGGUACGCCGGGAACCUA